AGAGGACUUAGAGUCUCACACCAUGUCCUAAUGUAACAAAGGGGCUGAGAAUUCUAAUGUGGAUGGACAAGUGAUUCUCUCAGUGGGAUCUACAGACGCUUUCAGUGAUAAGAAUGAUACCUAAUAUAAGUUAGGACUUCUCCUUUGAUCCCAAGCUUUCAACAUCUGUACUGACAAAGUUAAAUGAAAGACUACACGGGAGAGAGUCUGGGUGGCCUCUCAAAUGGAAAAGGAGCCACGUGGCAGGAGCUCAGUUACAGAAGAAAAAUGCCUGUGCCCCAGUUCCAGGGUUAGGAACAGCUCUCAUGGUGGCAGCAAG